rnacentral:lncRNA from 10 species
GUGCGCUGUGUGAGUGAGGUGUGCGCGGUGUGAUCGUGCGCUGUGUGUGAGGUGCACGCUGCGUGAUCGUGUGCUGUGAGGUGCGCGCCGCGUGAUCGUGUGCUGUGUGAGGUGCGCGCCGCGUGAUCGUGUGCUGUGUGAGGUGCGCGCCGUGUGAUCGUGCGCUGUGUGAGUGAGGUGUGCGCCGCGUGAUCGUGCGCUGUGUGAGGUGCGCGCCGCGUGAUUGUGCGCUGUGUGAGUGAGGUGCGCGCCGCGUGAUCGUGUGCUGUGUGAGUGAGGUGCAGGCCACGUGAUCGUGCGCUGUGUGUGUGUGAGGUGCGCACUGCGUGACCGUGCGCUGCAUGUGAGUGAGGUGUGCGCCGCGUGAUUUGGGAAGAGGCUUCUGCAAUGGGCAGGCUUCUGGGUACAUCACUUAAUUCGUUCAGGCCGGCUCCUACCUGCUGUCCAGUGAUGAAGUCUCCACACAGGAACAGGUUCAUGCUGGCGAUGACUAUGAUGUGGGGUAUCGCUGGGUACUCAGAAUCCUUUUGUGUAUCAAAAGCUGGAAUGCUUCAAAUUUUUCAUAAGUGCCUUGUUUUCCUUUUAACAUUGAUCUGGAAACAGUGCUGUCUGCAAAGCUGAGGCCCACUCCUCUCUGCUGGGGAUCAGGGGUUUCAGAAGGCAGGGGCCAUGCUGGGCCACUGUCCUGUACAAGCAGCCUGGCCUCCUUCACGCUGCCAGGGCAUCUGGCGCAGGGCAUGCUUUCUCAUUCAUAGUCUGCUUUGAAAGUCUUGGUUUUAGGAGAGGUUCAGGUUGGUCUUGCUGGCAUCUUCACCUAAAAUAGGGUCUGGCAGACAGGCCCAUGCGCUGCAUCCUGCCCACGGCCUGAUAGAUGGCCUGUGAAUGGCUUUUUUACAUUUUAAAAGUGGUUGAAAACAAAUUAAAAAUAUAUUUCAUGACAUGAAAAUCAUGAAAUUCACAUUUCAUUAUCUGAGAAUAAACUUUUAUGGAUGCAGCCAUGCCUGUCUGUCCAUGUCUUAUCUGUGUCUGCUUUGUGCUACGGCUGCAGAGUGGAGUGGCUGGGACUGAGACGGAACGCCCUCCUCACGGGGCCGCGUCUCUCCACCAGGACCGCGGGGCUACUCUGAGGCUCUGCUUCUUCCCCAGCGGGGUUGGCUUCCUGCUAUUCCUCAGCAUCCUGCCUUGGUCCUGAGUUGGUCCCUCUGCCAAGAGCCGUUUCUGUGUCUCAGUGGAUGGCGCAGCUGCCUUCUUGCUGGUACCUUGACUGAUAGACUGGUUCCUGUUCACCUGCCCGAAGUCAUCCCAGAAAUACCUCUUACAGUUGCAUGGGUUGAACCCAGCUCCGCGUGUAUUUAGAGUUUUGUCUCUUGCCCCUUCACCCAGAACAGCAGCACCCACCACCUUCCCGUCCCCUGUGACUGCCUCGCAACUGGGUCUGUUCUGUGAGAUGUCGCCACCCUGUUUGCCAUCUGGGAGGAUCUCACUCCUUCAAUUUAAUCUGCUCUCUUCCGUUAUUUUUUUAGUUUCUAUGUAUUUUACUUUUAGGACAUUCCU